GUGAACCUGAAUGUGUUUGAGUGUUUGUGCAUCAUGUGACCCAGAUUGUCUUCAUCUGCUGUCAGAUUCAAAUCAGGAAGAUGAAACCACACAGCAGCUUCAGCUGAGCUGUCAGUCUGCAGCAGCAGUCUUCUCUGUGAGCUGGAGGGGCUGAUGGGAGCUUGGAGGAGGAGUCACAAAGCACGUGGUCCUGCUGUCAUCUCACAGCUCGUCCUUCUUUGUCCUCAGCUGCAUCAGAACACCACUUCUCCUCAGGUUCACCAGAGGAAACACGGCUGAACAAAAUGCUUUUCCUCCCAGCUGCUGCUCUGUGCUGUCUGUGUUCAGCACUGGUUACCAUGGCAGCAGAACUCAUUCAGGAGGAUUUAACAUUGACCAGGAGAGUUGGUCAAAGUGUCUCUUUCAGCUGUGGAGGGACUCAGGAGUGUGAUGGUGGCUACAUAUUAUGAUGACGUCUUGAUGGACCGUCACCAUCUUCUGUCCUUUAGUCCUCCUGCUAAACCUCCAGAAAAGUCCUCAAAGCUGUUAAUGCUGAGUCAGCAUUUAGAGAACAUCUGCUGCUCUGACAGAACUUCAGAUCGACCUCCUGAAAUGAUUCUCUGCUUCUCUUUAAUUUGAAACUGGAAAAUGUCUUCAGUGGCUUAAAAGGGCUCAGGCGGUAGAGCGGGUCGGCCAAUGAUCGGAUAGGCGGUUCGAUUUCCCAAGUGUAGUUGUGUCCUUGGGGAAGGUACUUAACCCUACUUGCCUCCAGUGUGGCUCCACUGGUGUGUGAAUGCGUAUGAAUGUCCCGGUGAUGGUCAGAGGGGCCGUAGGCGCGUACUGGCAGCCACACCUCUGUCAGCCUGUCCCAGGGCAG